AUAAGUUUCACACAAUAGAUGUUAACGCACAAACCGGCAAUGGUAUUCCAUUGAUUUCCAUCGCAAGGUACAGUAAGCAAUUUUCACGCCUUUCAAAUAAGUUGAAGGCAAAAACAAAAUACAAAAUAUUGAAUGAGCCAAAAAAAACAAAAAAGCCCUCUGGGCACAUCAUGCCUAAUUGGUAUUUCAUCAUAAACCACAGUUAU
rnacentral:misc_RNA from 1 species